rnacentral:rRNA from 1 species
UACGGAGGAUCCGAGCGUUAUCCGGAUUUAUUGGGUUUAAAGGGUGCGUAGGCGGCCUGUUAAGUCAGGGGUGAAAGACGGUAGCUUAACUAUCGCAGUGCCCUUGAUACUGAUGGGCUUGAAUGUACUAGAGGUAGGCGGAAUGUGACAAGUAGCGGUGAAAUGCAUAGAUAUGUCACAGAACACCAAUUGCGAAGGCAGCUUACUAUGGUAUGAUUGACGCUGAGGCACGGAAGCGUGGGGAUCAAACAGG